AGCCCGUGACGAGGAUAUAAUCUCAUCAUGUCCUUGUAUCAUUCCCACGCCUCAAAGAGUGUCUCUCCUUCGGUUUGUCUAAAUGUGGUUAUGUGAUUUCUUAGUAC